rnacentral:rRNA from 1 species
ACACGACUACAUUAGAUACCCGUGUAGUCCUAGCCGUAAACGAUACUCGCUAGGUGUCGGCCACGGUGCGACCGUUGUCGGUGCCGUAGGGAAGCCGUGAAGCGAGCCACCUGGGAAGUACGGCCGCAAGGCUGAACUUAAGGAAUUGGCGGGGGAGCNCAAAAACAACGGGUGGAGCUUGCGGUUUAAUUGGAUUCAACGCCGGAAAUCUUACCGGGACCGACAGCAACAUGAAGGCCAAGCUGAAGACUUUGCCGGAUUAGCUG